CCUUUUUUUUGGAAUUAAAAGUCGAACAAGGUUUCUCGUAGGUGAACACGCGGAAGGAUCAUUAUUGAAAUUUAUUAAUGAGGAGUCGAGUUGAAGCGGGCCUUUCUUCUGGCAUGUGCACACUCUUCUCUUUCAUCCACACACACCCCUGCGCACUUGUGAGACAGUUGAGGGUUGGUUUGGAGUCGCUGUGGGUUAGUAGAGCUAUAUUGCAAAACUCUCCCCCUGUUCUCUUCCCCCUUGCUGUAUACUCAACUCUACACACACUACUAUUAAUUUUAAAACGAAUGUAAUUGAUGUAACGCAUAUAAUACUAAGUUUCAACAACGGAUCUCUUGGCUCUCGCAUCGAUGAAGAACGCAGCGAAAUGCGAUAAGUAAUGUGAAUUGCAGAAUUCAGUGAAUCAUCGAAUCUUUGAACGCACCUUGCGCUCCUUGGUAUUCCUCGGAGCAUGCCUGUUUGAGUAUCAUGAAAUCUUCAAAGCAAACCUUUUGUUAAUUCAAUCGGUCUCUUGCUUUGGUUUUGGAGGUCUGUGCAGCUCCACAAUCUGCUCCUCUUGGUUUAUUAGCUGGAUCUAUAAUGUGUUAUGCUCGCUUCCACUCGGAGUCAUAAAGUUAUCUAUCUGACUGAGGACACCAGUAAAAAGGUGGCCAAGGUAAAAGCAGAGCGAACAGCUUCAGAAGAGUGCACAUUGACUUCAACUAAAAUAAAACAUUAAUGAACUGAUCUCAAAGUCAGGUGAGCACUUACCCGCUAAUACUUGAAGCAUAUCAAUAAGCCGAAGGAAAAAGGAGACGCAGUGCAA
rnacentral:rRNA from 1 species